rnacentral:rRNA from 1 species
AUUUAGAGGAAGGAGAAGUCGUAACAAGGUUUCCGUAGGUGAACCUGCGGAAGGAUCAUUGUCGAAACCUGCAAAGCAGACCGCGAACACGUGUUUAACCACAAUGGGGACGUGGCGCGGGGGCGAGCGUGCCUCCCCUCUCGUCGCGUUCCCACCCCCGCCUGCGCGGGCGCCUGGCGCCUCGCGUCGUGCGGGCUAACGAACCCCGGCGCGGCACGCGCCAAGGAAAAYGAAAAYGAAGCGGUCGCCGCCCGACGCCCCGUUYGCGGAGCGCGCGGGCGGACGGUGCGCCGAACUAAUGUCAAAACGACUCUCGGCAACGGAUAUCUCGGCUCUCGCAUCGAUGAAGAACGUAGCGAAAUGCGAUACUUGGUGUGAAUUGCAGAAUCCCGUGAACCAUCGAGUCUUUGAACGCAAGUUGCGCCCGAAGCCAUUAGGCCGAGGGCACGUCUGCCUGGGCGUCACGCAUCGCGUCGCCCCCCCACCCGCGCACUGCGCUCGCGAUGGGGGGGCGGAGACUGGCCUCCCGUGCCUCUCGGUGCGGCCGGCCCAAAUGCGAUCCCUCGGCGACGCACGUCGCGACCAGUGGUGGUUGAAUCUCAACUCGCGUGCUGUCGUGAUGCGUCGCCCGAAGCGGAAUCAACGAUGACCCAACGGCGCCURGCGCCUCCGACCGCGACCCCAGGUCAGGCGGGAUUACCCGCU